AGCGAACGCUGGCGGCAGGCCUAACACAUGCAAGUCGAACGAACUCUUCGGAGUUAGUGGCGGACGGGUGAGUAACACGUGGGAACGUUCCCUUUGGUUCGGAAUAACUCAGGGAAACUUGUGCUAAUACCGAAUGUGCCCUUCGGGGGAAAGAUUUAUCGCCAUUAGAGCGGCCCGCGUCUGAUUAGCUAGUUGGUGAGGUAACGGCUCACCAAGGCGACGAUCAGUAGCUGGUCUGAGAGGAUGACCAGCCACACUGGGACUGAGACACGGCCCAGACUCCUACGGGAGGCAGCAGUGGGGAAUCUUGCGCAAUGGGCGCAAGCCUGACGCAGCCAUGCCGCGUGAAUGAUGAAGGUCUUAGGAUUGUAAAAUUCUUUCAACGGGGACGAUAAUGACGGUACCCGGAGAAGAAGCCCCGGCUAACUUCGUG
rnacentral:rRNA from 1 species